AUCUUAAGUAAAAAACUAGAUAAUCUUGGAAUAAGCCUUAGUUGGAUUUGACUCAUCUCUCCAACUUGGACAAUCAAAAUCUGACUUAAUAGAUUAGUAUUAGAAGGAGGGAUGCUAAGCAUGUCUCGAGAAAAUUUUACGAGACCAUUAAAGUCGAACUCGGAUGAGGCUAACCAAUUAAAUAUACUUAACGAUCCAAGAGGGCCGAGCUCGAUGGCUAGCAAGUCGGGUCGGAUCUAAACACAACUUUAAACGUUUUAGGGGGGCUGAGGCAGUGAAUAAGGUUUCUGUGAAAUAUUUAGCUUGUUUGGGGAUCUAAACACAACUUUUAACGAUUAGUUGGUCUUCAUACUUGUGUCAUUAUCCUAAAUUAGGUUUGCUGUGAAAUAUUUAGCUUGUUUGGGGAAACAAUCAAAGAUCAUCAUACGAGGUUGUUUCUCGUUUGAGAGAUGCAUUGCGUGUGCUUGAGCUGUCCGAGAUGUCUAGGGUUUGAUAUGUUUUUGUGGUGUAUGGUGACUUGUUAUUUUGUUUCUUUUCAUGUAGAUAUCUGUUUAUAAUUCGUUUGCAUCCUCNN
rnacentral:lncRNA from 1 species